AAAGAGUGUAGUUUUGCACGGUUUAUAUCCAACAUUUAACCGUUCUUUUUAUUUGAAAUUUUUUUUAUAAUUAAUACUUUUAUUGUUAUUAAUUAGAUGAUAAAAUAUGAAUAAUAUUUUAUAUGUAACUAAUUUUUUUGAAUUUUUUCAUAAAAUUUUCAAAUUAAACGGACGGUUAAACGUUGGACAUUGAAAUCCACAACUGCACUUAAA
rfam:Oryza punctata chromosome 2, whole genome shotgun sequence.